GUCGCCGCCAAAGCGCGUUUUUGUUCACGGGUCCGCGGUUCCCCACCCUGGCACAGCCUCCGAAGAUCGGAGCGGGAGGCGGGAGCAGGAAAGAGGAACGGUAGGGAAGAGAGGGUUUAGGGGCCUGAAAGGACAGGCCGGAAAGACAGCUGGACGAGGACCGAAGGUCGAACCAGCAAAGGUAGGGUGCGGAACGCGCGCUUAGACGGGCGCCAGGAUCUUAAAGGAGUUCAGGAACUACGAAGGCAACUUCGGGGUGACGAGGGGGUUCCCGCACGGGAGCGGCUCAAGUUCAUCUGCGCGUGGACAGUGAGGACUCCUUCCGCCCGCCCGCUUCCACGGGAGCCCCGGCGAACGGAAACGGGCUCUCGACCACGGUGAACAGUCUUCAGAUGUUUUGCAUAUCAUCAAGACCUUGAUUUGUGCAAACACUCUGGCAUCUCUGAGCUGGAGUCCAGUAGUCGUGGUUCUUGUCUUAGUUUUACUGUUAACAACCAGACCCCAUUGCAUCGUCUGGGCUUCAGUUCCUCCAAUUGUGUGAAGGCAGAUGCUUUACCCUCUGAGCCACCAGGGAAGCCCUCUGUAAAACGGGGAGAUUCUCAAUUCAGGAAGGUGGUGUGGAUCUAGGAUAACAGUAAAUACUUAACCAUGAGUGGCUCUCCGUAUAUUGUGAAUUCAGCAAUACAGAGGACAAGUGCACCGAGCUCUGGUAACCUGGUGAGCGGCAGAGCCUGGAGUCAUCUGUCUUUGCCCAACACUUGGCUGCUCCCAGCAGAGAUGGGCUCAUAGGGGUGUGACCUGCAACACUCUCCUCAGCUCCAUUGGAGAGGCAGAGGGCCCCGCCUUGCCCUGCAAGCUCUCAUGAAAAUUCUUGGCAGAAAGAGAACUCUCAGGUCCAGCUGAGGCUUAUGAAAGCAUCAUCUUGAGGACUCCUUCCUGCCUCUGGCAUCAGCUGGGAGCCCGCCAACUGAACACAGUCUGUCAUCGGCAGCGGCAGGGCCUGCCCGGGGCUGGAGAAUCCAAGGAGCUCAGAGCAGGACCAGCCGGUAGGAGCAUGUGGUCUGACAGCUGAGUUUACAUGAAGCGACCUGAUGGCCUAGCGAAUCAGGCUCACGGCGAGAGCUCGACUUGGACCAGGUCGCCCAUGCCCUGUCCAGGGCUUCCCUGGGAGCCGUGACUGAGCAUCCAUCUAGAGUGAAGACAACUUCCUCCCUGAGGACAGGAACGUGACACUAGGAGUUCCUGACCCGCCAUCCCUGACUUCAUGAAGUUGAGGCCUUCUGAUGAGUGGGUGGCUGGCCUCCUGGGGCCCACAGGGCCAGGCCAGCCCUGGGCUCACUUGCAGCUUCCUCCAGGGUCAUGGGGGCCUUUGGUAGAUGGGCCAGGCAGGUGGGAGAUAUCUAUCCUGGCCUGGAGAUGUUGUACCCGACCUGCGGCAUGGUCAACUUUGAAGGUGGCUUCCUAGUCCCCUGUGUUGUCCAGCAGUCACGGGGCAGCUGAUGCAAGAAACUUAGAGACAGUUGGGGGGAAAACCAGGGGCUUCAAGUUCCAACUUCUGUUCUUUAUUAGUCUGAAGACCCCCCCC